rnacentral:rRNA from 1 species
AGUGAACGCUGGCGGUAGGCCUAACACAUGCAAGUCGAACGGCAGCACAGUAAGAGCUUGCUCUUACGGGUGGCGAGUGGCGGACGGGUGAGGAAUACAUCGGAAUCUACUUUUUCGUGGGGGAUAACGUAGGGAAACUUACGCUAAUACCGCAUACGACCUACGGGUGAAAGCAGGGGAUCUUCGGACCUUGCGCGAUUGAAUGAGCCGAUGUCGGAUUAGCUAGUUGGCGGGGUAAAGGCCCACCAAGGCGACGAUCCGUAGCUGGUCUGAGAGGAUGAUCAGCCACACUGGAACUGAGACACGGUCCAGACUCCUACGGGAGGCAGCAGUGGGGAAUAUUGGACAAUGGGCGCAAGCCAGAUCCAGCCACACCGCGUGGGUGAAGAAGGCCUUCGGGUUGUAAAGCCCUUUUGUUGGGAAAGAAAAGCAGCAGGUUAAUACCCCGCUGUUCCGACGGUACCCAAAGAAUAAGCACCGGCUAACUUCGUG